rnacentral:rRNA from 1 species
GACGAACGCUGGCGGCGUGCUUAACACAUGCAAGUCGAACGGAAAGGCCCUGCUUUUGUGGGGUGCUCGAGUGGCGAACGGGUGAGUAACACGUGAGUAACCUGCCCUUGACUUUGGGAUAACUUCAGGAAACUGGGGCUAAUACCGGAUAGGAGCUCCUGCUGCAUGGUGGGGGUUGGAAAGUUUCGGCGGGUGGGGAUGGACUCGCGGCUUAUCAGCUUGUUGGUUGGGUAGUGGCUUACCAAGGCUUUGACGGGUAGCCGGCCUGGGAGGGUCACCGGCCCCACUGGGCUUGAACUGCGGCCCAGACUCCUACCGUACGCAACGGAGCGGAGGAGUGUACUGGGGGCGGGAGCCUGACGUAGUAACGCCGCGUGGGGUAUGACGGGCAUCGGGUUGGAUUGCAAAGUCGUCUUAGACGAAGCGUGAGUGACGGUAACGGGUAAAUAAGCACCGGCUAACUACGUG